rnacentral:lncRNA from 1 species
UGCGGAUAUAUGCCGUCGUUCGUGAAGAUGACAUCAGCGGAGGCGAGGAUUGAGCGCUUUAAUAAGAAGACAAUAGUGGCUGUAUUGUGGUACAUUUACAUGCGCUUAACAUUUGUGUGUCCAUUUUUUCUGACGUUAGACUGUUGGACCCUUUUCCAUGGUAAGAGUUGCUGGCUGAGUUGCAUCGGUCAUGUUAGGAUUUGCUAUGAAUUCGUACCUGUCAUUCAGGGAUAGUUCAAAUGUAUGAAGAAAGCAGUGAGUGCUGUGGUUCACAGCUGUGAACCUGCAGGUCAUGUGCAACGGCGGUGCACUUUGCACAUUGUACAGCUCGUGUACUGCUAUUGUAAAGCUUUUGUAUUGCACGGUUGGCCGUACAGUUCGCAGUCCCGCACGCAAGUCGCAGUCACUCGCGUAAAAUUCAAAUGGUAGCACAUGCAUUCGCAGGAUUCGCAGUCGCGUAUGCCAUUCGCAAUCCCUUGCGUUUGGCGAUAUGCUCGCGUUAAAAGCUCACCUGGUCGCGUUUAGGGUCGCGUAAAACUCGCGAAUUCAUUCGCCACAUUCGCAUGUUGUUGUUGUUACAUGGUCGUGGGUGCGUUCCCCGUACCUGCA